AUACUACUCCCUUCGUCCCGAAAUACUUGUCAAAGAAAUAGAUAAAACUGGAUGUAUCUAUAACUAAAAUACAUCUAGAUUCAUUCAUUUCUCCGACAAGUAUUUUCGGACGGAGGGAGUACAUC
rfam:Triticum aestivum genome assembly, contig: Triticum_aestivum_CS42_TGACv1_scaffold_146406_2BS